UUUGGCAGAAGCCAAAUAGAGGCCUAUCACUGUUAAUGAUAGAAUUGAAUAAAAAAUUCCUGCCAA
rnacentral:tRNA from 1 species